rnacentral:piRNA from 1 species
GUACAAAGCAGCACUGUGCUAUUGGGGAA